GACUACUAGUAUUCUCUGUAAGAGUAUUUGAUUUGAAAUGAAACAUUUGGCUUAUUAUAAACCUAUUCCUUUAUCUUAAAGUCCACCCCUUUGCUUUGUUGCCCUGACAACAUGAUACUCAGUAACUAGAACAGGGAAAAUUCCCAGAGUAGAGUCAUCAGCCUCCAGAUUUUCUGAAUGAAGCCUCUUGCCAGCUCACCAAGAGAGAUGGACUCUGUUGUUCUACUAAUGACAAAGUCUGCUUCUAUAGGACUGUACUGUGCUUACAUUUGAGGUUCACAAGCAACGACCUGCUUCCUAUCCAGUUGUACUAGCCCACCUAUGCAAGCAACAAUGGAACAGAAAUAUUGUCAUGGAUGCUACCUACCUGGUUCCUGGAACCAGGUUCCUGGGAAAGAAAACUGAAGUAGCUACCUGAACUUUCUAACACGGCUUUAAUUGCUAUUUCAACUGACUUGGCUAGUGACUUCCCAAGUUGAGGGCAACGUCUUCAGGCAAGCUCUGUGAUGACUCUGAAACCUGGAGAGACUGUCUCACCAGCCUGACCUUGCUCCAGCUCAGCCCUGUACUGUCUAAGGCUGAGACUCAUUCAUAUAAGGAGACAAUUUAGUGCUGGAAGAAGCACUUGGCAGUAAGGGAACAAUCUAGGAAGAGACGCUCACAAUGUUCACUUCCUCUUUUUAAUAUGCUAUGAGUUAAAGUCCUCAGAACACAAUUGAACAAAUAUUAGCAUGACAGUUUCAGUGGAGGAAGGUGAUGUCUUCCAGGGCAUCCUGAUCUUUGCCUAUGAAAACCCUCAAAUCCCUUAAAUGCAACCUUAGCUAUUUAGAUCCCUAUGUCUUGACAUUUAGAUGACUAAAGCCAUACUGUAGAACUAGGAUAAAUGUUAACAAGCUGCUUUUAGAGAUUGUUCUAAAAAAUAGUCAUAGGAAGAGAACCAGACUCGAACUUGAACAGCUCAGAUUUAAUUCUCAUAUCUGUCUCAUCAACUGUAGUUACCAGGGAGGCCUAUAUAUACUUGAUGAGACUUGAUUUACCCCAUUAUCAAAUGGAUAUGAGGCUAUUGCAAAAACUGAGAUUCUGAAGGAAGCAUGGAGACUUGGAAUAGGUAGAUUUUCCAAGAGCCUCAAAUUCAUGUGUCAAAUGUGAACCAUUUCCAGAGCCAUGUGGCUGAAGUGACUUUCUCUAUUUGCUUUGCAAUGUCUGCCUCUGCAACAUGUGAUAAACUUUGUUGCUCACAA